UUGCCUCUUGGUCUGGGACAACUGUUGGAAACGACAGCUAAUACCGGAUAUUAUGAGAUUCUCGCAUGGGAAACUUAUGAAAGCUAUAUGCGCCAAGAGAGAGCCUUGCGUUCCAUUAGCUAGUUGGUGGGGUAAUGGCCCACCAAGGCGACGAUGGAUAGCCGGCCUGAGAGGGUGAACGGCCACAAGGGGACUGAGACACGGCCCUUACUCCUACGGGAGGCAGCAGUGGGGAAUAUUGGACAAUGGGCCACAAGCCUGAUCCAGCAAUUCUGUGUGCACGAUGAAGGUCUUCGGAUUGUAAAAUGCUUUCAGUUGGGAAGAAGAAAGUGACGGUACCAACAGAAGAAGCGACGGCUAAAUACGUGCCAGCAGCCGCGGUAAUACGUAUGUCGCAAGCGUUAUCCGGAUUUAUUGGGCGUAAAGCGCGUCUAGGCGGAAAAAUAAGUCUGAUGUUAAAAUGCGGGGCUCAACUCCGUAUUGCGUUGGAAACUGUUUUUCUAGAGUACUGGAGAGGUGGGCGGAACUACAAGUGUAGAGGUGAAAUUCGUAGAUAUUUGUAGGAAUGCCGAUGGAGAAGUCAGCUCACUGGACAGAUACUGACGCUGAAGCGCGAAA
rnacentral:rRNA from 1 species